UACGUAGGCAGCAAGCGUUGUUCGGAGUUACUGGGCGUAAAGGGUGCGUAGGCGGCUUUUUAAGUUUGGUGUGAAAUCUCCCGGCUCAACUGGGAGGGUGCGCCGAAUACUGAGAAGCUAGAGUGUGGGAGAGGAAAGUGGAAUUCCUGGUGUAGCGGUGAAAUGCGUAGAUAUCAGGAGGAACACCGGUGGUGUAAACGCUUUCUGGACCAUAACUGACGCUGAGGCACGAAAGCGUGGGUAGCAAACAGG
rnacentral:rRNA from 1 species